AACGAACGCUGGCGGCAGGCUUAACACAUGCAAGUCGAACGCCCCGCAAGGGGAGUGGCAGACGGGUGAGUAACGCGUGGGAACGCGCCCUUCGCUUCGGAAUAGCCCCGGGAAACUGGGGAGUAAUACCGGAUACGCCGUAUUGGGAAAGAUUUAUCGGCGAAGGAUCGGCCCGCGUUAGAUUAGCUAGUUGGCGGUGUAAUGGACCACCAAGGCUACGAUCUAUAGCUGGUCUGAGAGGAUGAUCAGCCACAACUGGGACUGAGACACGGCCCAGACUCCUACGGGAGGCAGCAGUGGGGAAUCUUGGACAAUGGGCGCAAGCCUGAUCCAGCCAUGCCGCGUCGAGUGAAGAAGGCCUUAGGGUUGUAAAACUCUUUCGCCGGAGAAGAUAAGUGACGGUAUCCGGAGAAGAAGCCCCGGGCUAAACUUCGUGCCAGCAGCCGCGGU
rnacentral:rRNA from 1 species